UGGAAAUUAACAAAGGUGCUUUUGAAUGUUAUCAGUUAACUGAAAUUUGUUAGUGGUUUUAGAGCUCUUUUUCAGUGCACAUUCAUGAUGCAGGCAGUUUAACCAUAUUUUCUGAAGUAUUUCAGCAGUACUAAUAGAAUUUGUUGGUAAAGGAUUUUUUUUUCUUUAAGUGAAAACUCAUGAAGUAAGAAGGUGUUAAUGUUUGUUUAAAGCAUUAUUGCGGCAGUCGGAGAAACAGGAAAUUGCCUGACUUUCAAAGGGUUUCAAAAUGCACAGGACAACUGCAUGUAUCACUUUUCUCUGAUUUAAAGAAUUGUUUUGUUAUAUCUUUCAACAUGUGAAGCAAGGGUGAAAAUCUGAAGCCAUCAUGAUUCAAUAUUUCAAACCUAGUUUGGUCACUCUGCAGAAUUCACAAUUUCAUCUUUCAGCAAGAUUUCCAAUUUGCUUUGCUACCAUUGGACAAGAAAAAGUACGGAUAUAGACAGUUCAUACAGAAAAUUGCUGGUUUAUACACAACUGUAACGCGACAGAUUUUUGAACAGGGUUUUGUAUAGUAAACUCUAGUUGAGGCUUUAAUAUAAAUUACAGAAAAAAAAAACUGAUUUGAAAACUGUAAAGCAUUUAGGUACCGCUGGAAUUUGAAGGAUGUGCAUCAGUAAGGCUUAGGACGAACAAUAUUAUGUGAAGGGGUAUGCAAGUCAUCGAGACCCUAGGGAUUAAUAUCCCUACCCCAUGAUGCAUAGUUGAUGUUUUUAAUUAAAGAAAUCAUGGUUU